UACGUAGGGCGCAAGCGUUGUCCGGAAUCAUUGGGCGUAAAGAGCUCGUAGGCGGCCUGUUGCGUCCGCUGUGAAAUCCCGGGGCUUAACCCCGGGCGUGCAGUGGAUACGGGCUGGCUGGAGGCAGGCAGGGGAGAACGGAAUUCCCGGUGUAGCGGUGAAAUGCGCAGAUAUCGGGAGGAACACCGGUGGCGAAGGCGGUUCUCUGGGCCUGUACUGACGCUGAGGAGCGAAAGCGUGGGGGAGCGAACAGG
rnacentral:rRNA from 1 species